GAGGGAGAGCAGCGAGAGAGAGAUGGAGGGAGAGCACAGAGAGAGAGAUGGAGGGAGAGCACAGAGAGAGAGAUGGAGGGAGAGCACAGAGAGAGAGGUGGAGGGAGAGCACAGAGAGAGAGGUGGAGGGAGAGCACAGAAAGAGAGGUGGAGGGAGAGCACAGAGAGAGAGGUGGAGGGAGAGCACAGAGAGAGAGAGGUGGAGGGAGAGCACAGAGAGAGAGGUGGAGGGAGAGCACAGAGAGAACACAGAGAGAGAGAUGGAGGGAGAACAGAAAGAGAGAUGGAGGGAGAGCACAGAGAGAGAGAAUGUUAACUCAAACUCACAGCUACAGCUAAAACUCAUCAGCUGACCCACCAAUAUAUGCACACGACUAAGUUGCUUUGGAAAAAACAUCUGCUAAAUGGCAUAUUUAUUCAAUGUUUUAUUUACACAGACUUCAACCAACCACAGCAUUAGAAUGUUUGUUUCAGGUUUUCCUGAAAGUCUCUGUAUAAAGCCAUACUGUACAUCAUUAGAGCCACAUCUCUGACCUCUGGGAGGAUGAGUCUCCUUCCUGCUCUUACCACUUCCUCCUGUUUCUUCCCCAGAAGGUAAAAACACCAAAACCCAGGGAACAGUAGGCAUCUUCCC